AUACUUACCUGGCUGGGUUGACAUGACCACAGAGGUUAUUUCCCAGAGCGAGGCUUAUCCAUUGUAGUCUGGAUGUGCUUACCCCUAUGAUUUCACAAAAUAUGGGAAACUUGACUGCAUGAUUUAUGGCAGUGAGGGCCUGUAUUCAUGCCCUCC